CAUGGGCACAGCUUACAGCUGGAUCCAGGUAUGAGAGUCAUCAUCUCACCUGUGAGCUGUGACCAUGUAUAUGUCGCAAUUUCACCUGUCAUCAGGAAGCAGACAUGAGAGUCCUAUCACCUGGGUGCUGGAUGAAAAAAGAUGCAAAGAAGACAUAUUUGCUUUUUAUCCACACAUCAUUUCCAAUCACUAUGCUGAGCAAAGUCAAUGUGAGCAGAGCUGAGAAUAGCAGUUUUCUGGCAGGACGGCCACUUCUGAGCAAAAAAUGACACAAUAAAA
rnacentral:lncRNA from 10 species